GACGAACGCUGGCGGCGUGCUUAACACAUGCAAGUCGAACGGAAAGGCCCUGCUUUUGUGGGGUGCUCGAGUGGCGAACGGGUGAGUAACACGUGAGUAACCUGCCCUUGACUUUGGGAUAACUUCAGGAAACUGGGGCUAAUAUCGGAUAGGAGCUCCUGCUGCAUGGGGGGGGUUGGAAAGUUUCGGCGGUUGGGGAUGGACUCGCGGCUUAUCAGCUUGUUGGUGGGGUAGUGGCUUACCAAGGCUUUGACGGGUAGCCGGCCUGAGAGGGUGACCGGCCACAUUGGGACUGAGAUACGGCCCAGACUCCUACGGGAGGCAGCAGUGGGGAAUAUUGCACAAUGGGCGGAAGCCUGAUGCAGCAACGCCGCGUGCGGGAUGACGGCCUUCGGGUUGUAAACCGCUUUCGCCUGUGACGAAGCGUGAGUGACGGUAAUGGGUAAAGAAGCACCGGCUAACUACGUG
rnacentral:rRNA from 1 species